CAAGCGGUGGAGCAUGUGGUUUAAUUCGAUGCAACGCGAAGAACCUUACCUACUCUUGACAUCCAGAGAACUUAGCAGAGAUGCUUUGGUGCCUUCGGGAACUCUGAGACAGGUGCUGCAUGGCUGUCGUCAGCUCGUGUUGUGAAAUGUUGGGUUAAGUCCCGCAACGAGCGCAACCCUUAUCCUUUGUUGCCAGCGGUUAGGCCGGGAACUCAAAGGAGACUGCCAGUGAUAAACUGGAGGAAGGUGGGGAUGACGUCAAGUCAUCAUGGCCCUUACGAGUAGGGCUACACACGUGCUACAAUGGCGCAUACAAAGAGAAGCGACCUCGCGAGAGCAAACGGACCUCAAAAAGUGCGUCCUAAUCCGGAAUGGAAUCUGCAACUCCACUCCCUGAAGUCGGGAUCGCUAGUAAUUCUGGAUUCAAAUGGCACCGUGAAUACCUUCCCGGGGCCUUGUACACACC
rnacentral:rRNA from 1 species